ensembl:lncRNA
UCACAAUACUUUCUUAUUCAUGCACAAAAGAUUUUUUUUUCUGCAAAACAAAUCAAAAACAUCUUACAAUUUCAGACACAGCAUUUAUAAGCUUAGAUAAUUAUGUGUUAUAAUGCACUUUAAGUUUGCCAUGCAGCCAGAUGGUGAGGUAUUGUUUUAUUAAUUUGAAGAAUUAAAGUACUAUACUAACCAGUUUUUGCAUUUUAAAACAGACAUUUUAACUUUUGUACAGUUUAAGAUCAAUUGCAGCAUAAAGUUUACAGCUCUCUGUAACUCUAGAGCUGAUAUAAGCAGUAGUAUUUAUUAUAAAAAUGAGAUUUGAUUGUAAAAUAUAAGCAAAUGUCUAAAUCUUGUUUUAGACUGAAGUCCUGUUUCUGAAUUAAAUAUAGGCUUUCUCCCCUGACUGAUUAAGCAAUGAUUGGGUGACCUUUAAAAUCAUUUAGACAUUUGAGGUAAAUCUAGUACAGGGUUGGUUGAAAAUUCAAUUUUUAAUUAUUUCACGUUGAUUUAAUGAUGUUCAUGUGGAACUGCAAAGUUUGAAUGCUGUUAAUUUACUGGCUCUGAAAUUUUUUUUAUUGUUUUAUUGACCAUUUUUAUUGUAAUUAUCCUUAGUGUAAAUGAUUGAUUUUAAUUCUUAAUAGAAGAUGUGUGAUUAUCCUUUAUUGGUUCUAUUUUUAUUUUUGUUGUUGUUAAAUGUGACUACAGAAGUCAUUAGGACAGACUCUAGAAAAGCUGAAAUUACACACAAAUGAAAAACAAAUCAACUUUUCAGUUUUCAAGACAGUGAUCUGGAACCAACUGAAAUUUGAGUGUCAUUCUAUUUCCUUCCUUUGCCCACUACAACAGUUAGUUUAACUUGCUAGUUUUUGCACCGUCUCAAAACAGUGCCCCAAAAGGCUCUGCCUGCACUGGUGGCAAAACAAAGCUCUCCACCAGAUGUCACAGCUCCACACACAGUUGGUUUUUGAAGCUUGAAGUUGGUGAGUUCUUGGCCAAGCCUUUUGAUUGGUUGACUGAUUAUGCAGCACUUUCUGGUAUAAAUAUUUUGAACCACCCCUGUUCCUGUCAGUUCAGGCAGACCUCUAGCACCUGUAAUAAAGCUAUUUUUCGCUGGCGUCUUUCACGCAUGGGAUGUUCUUCUGAUGGUGCAUUCUGAUAAUGCUGCAGUUUCUCUUUGUAUGUUUUCUUUGUAUUUUGCCACAGAAAAUUGUUGGGCUAAAUAAAGGACACUUUGU